rnacentral:misc_RNA from 1 species
GCUCACCGACGGCGACGGCGUGGUUGAGGAGGUGGAAGAGGAAGCGGUGCUGGUGGAGUUAAUGUUCAUCCAGAGAGGAAGAACAGUGGAAGACGACGUCGUGGAACUGACCGAUCCAAGGGAAAGGAGCGGAUCGGCGUCAGGGAUGGGAAGACGAGGCAUGACGUUAGCCAAGGGCGACGGAGGCGGGGGAGGAGGAGAGUGAAAGGCAGCGGCGUAAAGCUUAGGCUGAACGUAUUUCUCAGCGAAGGUCUCUAAGAUAUGGUCGUAAGGACCUUGAAGCGCCUUCUCGGGGGAGGAAACAGCAGCAGCAAUGGGAAUAUUCCCGUCGGCGGAAGUGUGAUAAUCCCGCCUCUGGGUUAAGUUCUGCGCCUUCUGCAACUGCU